GGAGCUCCGCGCGACCAGGCUCCAAGUUCGCGCCCCGGCAUAGGCCCCGCCCCCGUCUCCCUGGCGACGGCUCCGCUGCGCUUCCGGGUCCACCUCUGCAGGCGGAGGGCCGGACCCUAGGCGCCCCGCCUGCCCGGCUGUCAGCUCAGCUGGUGACCUAGGAAGCUCGGAUUGCUGCUGUCAGAAUUUGCCACUACAGUAGAAGGCAGGCUGAGAACAAAUUGCUAAGAGGAAAAAGGAAGGACCAAGACCACCACGGAGGAGUCCAGGUCCACUGACGAUCAGUGAGUCUAAUUCAUUUUGGAGGACUAUUCUCCCAUAGGUUGCAUUCGAGAUUGGAGAACAUGUAUCAAACAGAAAGAAGAGUGUAAGGCUUCCCUGCAGGAAGGGAGAGCUGGACACACCAUGGAUCUGGGACUGAUGCUGGUUCUUUGUCUAGAGACCUGCCCUGUCACAGCCUGUACAGCCAGUGGGACUUGGCUGGGGUGGACUGUAUUGUGGAGACAGGAAAUUAAACAGGAGCUAUGGGAAACAGAGGCCAGGCUUCUGCCUGCCCACAGUGCCAUGCCUUUCAGCCUGGGCACCCAGAUGGACCUAGAGGAUUUCCAUAAGUCUCCAGCUGCUGUUGCCUUUUGUGCAGCUACACAUGAGUGGCUUGAACCUGGAGCACUGUGCCCACUACCUGCAGGCCCAGCUUGAGGAUGCGAAGUGCAGCAGGAAGAGGAGGACUGGGGUGGGUAUACAAGGGUAAGGAGGGUACACAAGUGUAAAUGAAAAAGGUCAUGUUUUGGUCCCACUGGAUGGAGUCUAUAAGUCUAAUGUUGCACUGGGAAUAAUGAUAAGCCUUUUACCACUCAGGCAAUGUUGUCGGUCUGAGAAGAGAUCCUGUGUGGGCUUUGGGGCUAAAAACUUCUGGGCAGAUAGAGUAUUGACUGUUCUAGCAAAGCUCAGGGCAAGGCAGUCAUGUUGGAAUCAUUUCUCCUCUAGCUGCAGCCUCAGUUCCAGAACAAGCUCUUAAAGCACCUGCAGAGCUACAGCCUUCUCCAGGAGGUGCUCUGGUGCCCAGUCAAGUGGCAGCACCAGCAUCAGAUCCAGAGCUUGUGUUCAACCCAGUAUGUGUUUGGAAGCAAGAGGCAGUUCUAGAGCUGGCUUUAGUGUCAGCUUUGGAGUUCCAGGCAGCUCUUGCUCCACUGCUGAAUUUAGCUCUGUCCCCAACUCUAGAGCUGAAGUCCAUCCCAUUACCAGUUCUGUCAGUAGAGCCUUGCCAGCCUUAACUUGUGCCACAGAGAAAGGGCUGAGAAAGGGAAUGUGUUAACAUUCCCUCCAGACCUGAGGGCAGAGAGCUUCCUGCUAAUGGAUGAAAUGUCUUUGCAUGCCUGGGCUUGGUGGUUGAACUUCCUUCUGGUAUCUGCUGCCUAGACCUGCUGUUUCCUGCUGUAGAGCCCAUGUUCCUGUCUCAACUCCAUUUCACCACUGCAGUGAGUGAUGCUGACUUCUGGGUGGUGAUGAGUUCCAAAAGGAAAAGAUAUGUCUAUGAGCUCUGAACAGGGCAGAGUGGGAAGUUAGAACAGCAUCAUGGGCAGUAAAAUGAUCGUGCUCUGUAUGUCAGUGAGGCAGGUGUGCAUUUGUACAACAUAGAGGAAGAAGCAGGCAGAGGCAGGCAAGGCAACCAGAGUAGAGGCAGUAUUUUGAGGGAUAAAGGAGCUUAGAAGCAGGCCCUGUGCAAAAGUAAGGUUUCCUAUUUGGUGGUAGACUGAGGGGACAAUGUUGUCUCUGAUUGCAUCCUUGGCUAAUCCAAAGAGCCAAGAUAACUCAAAGUCUGGGUAUAGUUUCCAGAAGCCCCAUAGAGAGUGCUGUGAACCUGAAGUUUUGGGGAUUCUGCUGAUGUUGCCAUCUCCACAGUUCUUGAAGUCGAAUUCAGAGUCCUCAGCAGUGACGUCCAGCUCCACUGCAUCUUUGAGCAACACCUCUUCAGAAUUGUCCAGGCCUUUUCCCAUGGCCACCAAAAACAACAGUGUCCAGUAUUGCAGGUAUCUCCACUAGCAGUACCUCACUGCCCAUCUACAACAAGCAGCUGGGAGAUAGCUGCAUGGUUUACAUCAACCUAGAAGAGCAGAUUAUGACGGAAUACGAGAUAAUCCUGGUGAGCCUGACAGCAGGGGUUUCUCACAGGUGACCACACUGGAAAAGGCAGAAAACAUAUCCAACACCAUGGACUAGUCCUGCCAUCUUGAAUUGGAGCUUCUGGAAGGUUAGGAGGGAAUAAAGAAGGGAGAGGUCUGUGUUUAGGACUUGACCUGAGAGGAGGGAGAGCACCCGUAUGCCCAGCUCCAGCUGUGAGUGGGCCUGCAUGCUGUGGGGUUUGCCAGCCACAAGUGUAAGAGUACAUGCUGGAGACAGAUGAGGUCAGAGAAAUAUCUAGGGUGCAGGCUGCACUGUAUGGGCCACAGACACCUACGAGCCAUUCAGGAAGCCAGGAGUGUGAGUCUGCAUAUCCCUUGAAUGGGUAGCUGAGAAAGUCUCUUUGUAGAAUUUAUAUGGAUGUGGAGUAUACACCCUAAUAUUUCAGGUGUCCAGAUGCAGAGGAGACAUGUUCAGUUCUCCCCCUGCUGGUUCAGGUAUCCCAUUACACCCCAGCCACCACUGAGCCUCUAGUCUCUCAUCUGCAUGGUCUUGUUCCUCAGUUUGUUUUUUGCCCUGGCUGUAAGGACCAAAGCCUGCAACAUUUCUGCCUGUGCCAAGUAAAGAAUCAGCCUGCAUCCUAGAGUAGAACUGGCAUAUAGUGGGUCACUGGUCUAUUACUCUGAUCUCAGUGGGCGUAGGAGGUAUCUGUGCACAGACUCUUGAGUCCUUUUACCUUGAGUGAAAAGUGCCUCCAGACAGGUCAAUGGCAAUUACAGGCAGACUAUUGUAUGAGGAUUGGGGUAGUAGCCCAUGGGAAGAACCAAUAUGAUUACAGGGAGCCCAGCCUUAGGUGGCAGGAUAACAAGAGGUGCCUUUGUGUUCACAGCUGAGGUGUCUCCUGAAUGUCUCUGACCACUGUUGUCUGGGCAUAACCUCCAGGCCACAUACCCUGAUGACCUGUUUUUCAUGCUGAUCCAGGUGACCUUCCAGGAUAGGGUUCCUGCUGAUAUGCAGGAUUUGGACCAACACUGCUUAAAAAGGAAUAUUUGGAAAAUUUGAGCUCCCAUAAAUCAUCUCAGAGCAUCAGAAUAAGUGGGACAACGAGAUGGUGGGGAGAAAUGAUCAACCAGCAGGCUCCAGACAAUUUGCAUCCCAAAAAAAGAAAGAAAGAGUGCCUUGGCCUAGAAAAAACAGCCAGAGUGUGUGGUGGGUCUUGUGCACAAAGGAAACUGCACUGAAGUGGGCCUAAAAUAUGCAGGUGCUCUGUGCUGUCCCAGGGGCUGCUGGACCUCCCUAACAUGUGUCCUCCCCUGCAUCAGUCACUCAUUGCAAAGCUGACAUCUAUAAUGGUCAAAGAAGAAAGCCUCCUUCAAGCAGCAGCAUGCACCAUGGUCACUGAUAAAGAUGAUCUCUGACUAAGAAGGGAAAAAAUGGGCUACAAAUGGAAUCACACUGAUGUGAAAAAAGAGGGGGAUGAGGAGGGAAAGGAGGCAAACAAGAGAGAGGAAUACAAAAAGCACAAGAGUAGGUUUAAUUAUAACUGGAAUAAGAAUACAAAUCAGAGGGAUAAUGAUGAGGAGGAAGAGGAAGACAUGAAAACAUUUCUGUUCCUGAGGGCAUACUCCUGCUCAGGUCAUCCUCCAUCCAUGCCCAACAUACUUCCAAUUUUUAUCACCUUCUAGGAGUGUAUUCAUCUAUAAAUGGAUUAAUCCACUGAUUAGGUCAAGGUACUCACCAUCAAACAAUUUCCUGAAAGCACAUGUUUCAGUAUUCCUGCAUUGUGAAGAAAGGUUCAGCACAUGGGCCACUGGGGGCAAAUUCUGACACAAACACUAGCAGUAGUUCUUUGGCAGGUCCAACCUGAACUGAGUCAUUCUGGUGUUCAAGGGGCGUUUUCUUUGAAAGGUGUUAGUUUGGUUUAGUUCUUGUGCGCGGAGGAAGUCUUUGAUAGUACUAUAGCUGGAUUGGAGGGCUCUACGGUCUGUGGAUGGCCUGACAUGGCAGAGGCUCUCAGAUGUUGAGUGUGUCCUGUGGUGUACUACUUGAAUGUCAACUACCACCUUUCUGCCACUCCCUCCCCAGAAUGGGAUCCCUGACAAUGGAAACAUCGUAUGUGCCAUAAACUCUCCAGUCAACCAUUACUUCAUCCUGGGAAAGUGAUCCACCAGCAAGUGGGCCAAGAUCAAGGAAGGAGGAGCUGAAGAUUCCCCAUGACGCAACUAUCUUUUAUUCCCUGAAUCCUUGAGUCAAGUAUGACUUUGUACUGAGGAAGAAGAUCUUCCCAAGUAAGAAGAACAAUGAGUGGAUCCAGCCCAAACCUCCCCCUCAUGAUGCAACAGAGGCUCAAAAUCACCACAGGAACCUUAAAAGAACAUUUUGCAGCUCUCCGACUGGGUAGUACUGAAGCAUCACAUGAUCGUUGGCAUUUAUUUCUUUAAAUAUGUGCUCCAAAAUUUUGCAGUUACCCAUCUAUAAUUUGCCAGUAGAUCCUUGUUAUUUAUACCACUUAGUAAGACAUUUAUUAUUAUAGCAAAACUUUAUUGUUUAGUUUUAGCAUUUAAAAUAUAAAUGUUUUCCUUUGUAAUCUGUAAUAAUUUUAGCAGCAAUUUCUAGAGGAAACAAACAAAAAGGAAGAAAUGUUUCAUUUGAUCAACUAGAAAUUUUAUUAGGGUUAUGGCAGAUUAUAUAUCUGAGUAAAUUUUCCAGUGGGAGUAAUUAAAUACUGGAUUUCAUGGAACACAUACACAAACCCAUCCACCUACACCCCAUGCACUUAGAUUGCAUGAUUGAAUAGAUUCAAUGUCUAUGCUGAAAUGUUUGGGAGAAGGGUUUCAAAUUCUCAGAUUUUGAAAUGUUUUCAAUUACAUAAGUUACCUUGGGAAUGAAACUCAAUUCUAAACAAGAAAUGCAUGAGUACUUUACACACACCUUUACACAUAUCCUGAAGUUAGUAUUAUAUGCAAUAUAUUUAGUGCACCUGUAUUCUGACUGUGACCAUACUUGGAGGUCAGAUGUGUAAUUUUCUACUUGUAGCAUCACAAUGGGUCUCCAAUGUUUUGAUUUUGGAAUAUUGCAGAUUUUUAUUUUUUAGAUAAGGAAUGAUAUAUACCAUACAUAUGUCUUUUUAUUUAUACAUGUAAUGAUAAUGAAUGUCAUGCGUUUAGGAAUCUGUAGACUGUAGAAAAUGAAUAAAUGCCUACUGUUGCCUGGACUUGUCUGCAGAAUCCUAUAGAGUCUGAGCAUCUAAAAACCUAGUCAUUGAAGGAUUUUUAUGGCAUGGAACAAAUUUAAAGGGGUAUUAAAGAAUAGAACUAUUUUUUUUUUCUGACUCAUGGAGCAGGACUCACAGUUGUUCAAGAUUUUAUGGGUUACUAAUCUUUGAUAAUUCUGUUAUUUGUUAAUAUAUUUAAUGCAGUUAAUUGUAGUUGAAAACUACCCAUUUGAAAUAUAUUAAUUAGCAUUGUUUCUGUAAAUAUAAACUGACUGUAAAUAUAAACCAUUUUUGAUAACUACAAGGAAGACAAGAUUUCCAAAUUUUCAAACUUGAAAUUGGGCAUUGUCCUUGAAACUGUUAGUCCCUGAGUUUGAAUGAAGGAGUUAGAAAAUUUUCAAUUUUCCACAGUAUAUAAAAAAUUACACACUUAAAAUAAUGUAUAUUUGCUUAAACUAUCUACAAAUUGGAAUUUUGUAAGCAGUCAUUCAAUUUUUUUAAUUGAUAGACUACAUGUUUAUGAAAACUAGAAAGUGUUUUCAUGGGAUAAAAUAGUAUCAGUUAAUUUAUAAUGUCUAUAUUCUUGUUUGAUAUCUUGCUCCAUUUCAGUGUUACCAAGCUUAAAUUCAAAAUAUCAAUGAAACAAACACACUGUCUAUAGAACAAACCCUGUUAAAGAUUUCUUUAAUAUUUCUUAUUUGUGAUAUGUUCUCUUAUUUUAAUCACCAUUAAAGAAUAAUUAGUUAUGCAUUUUUACCAUUAUGUAAUAAAAAUUAAAUGCACAAUACCAGGAAAAUGUGUUUACAAAUUAAGCAUUUGCAUAUAUCAGUAUAGUUAGCAUAAUGAAAAGACAGGUCUUUUCUAAAUGGCUUCAUUUUCAUUAGCAGGCAUUAUUAGUGUGUAUAGAAGUAUUAUAUGCAUAUUUGUCCAUCUUCAUCUUUAUGCUUUAAAAGUUCAUGAUAUUAAGACAUUUGUAGCAUAAUAAAUAAUGUACAACUUA